GGUGGCUCAGUGGUAGAGUGCUUGCUUUGCAUACAUGGGGCCCUGGGUUCAAGUCCCCAGCACCA
rfam:Dipodomys ordii contig_37308, whole genome shotgun sequence.